rnacentral:rRNA from 1 species
GACGAACGCUGGCGGCGUGCUUAACACAUGCAAGUCGAACGGAAAGGCCCUGCUUUUGUGGGGUGCUCGAGUGGCGAACGGGUGAGUAACACGUGAGUAACCUGCCCUUGACUUUGGGAUAACUUCAGGAAACUGGGGCUAAUACCGGAUAGGAGCUCCUGCUGCAUGGUGGGGGUUGGAAAGUUUCGGCGGUUGGGGAUGGACUCGCGGCUUAUCCGCUUGUUGGUGGGGUAGUGGCUUACCAAGGCUUUGACGGGUAGCCGGCCUGAGAGGGUGACCGGCCACAUGGGGACUGAGAGACGGCCCAGACUCCUACGGGAGGCAGCAGUGAGGAAUAUUGCACAAUGGGCGGAAGCCUGAUGCAGCAACGCCGCGUGCGGGAUGACGGCCUUCGGGUUGUAAACCGCUUUCGCCUGUGACGAAGCGUGAGUGACGGUAAUGGGUAAAGAAGCACCGGCUAACUACGUG